GUGGAACAUCAAAGUGUAAGGGGAUCCUUGUAAAAAGGCUUGAAUUUUCGACUUCAAGAUGAUUUUAAUGAGUCAUUGGUUCCAGUGAAGACCAAGGAAAUGCCAAGAGGUCGGUAUGGCAGUCAGAUUGGGCCGCGAAAGCCCAUAAGGUAAAAGGUCUACUUGUAUAGCUCGUUUGUGGUUCUUCUGCAUACCUACAAUGAGUAACAAAAAUGUUACACACCGAACAAUUUCCUCUGACGGAUGAUUACGUGCUUAUUAUGUUAGCGCGGGAAUCGCCAUGGAGUUCUGCGUUUCCUUCCUCCUACAGUUGUGUCGUAAGUUUGUUUAU